GAGUUUGAUCCUGGCUCAGAUUGAACGCUGGCGGCAGGCUUAACACAUGCAAGUCGAGCGGUAACAGGAAAUAGCUUGCUAUUUUGCUGACGAGCGGCGGACGGGUGAGUAGUACUUGGGGAUCUGCCUGAUGGAGGGGGACAACCACUGGAAACGGUGGCUAAUACCGCAUAAUCUCUUCGGAGCAAAGUGGGGGACCUUCGGGCCUCACGCCAUCAGAUGAACCCAAGCAGGAUUAGGUAGUUGGUAGGGUAAUGGCCUACCAAGCCGACGAUCCUUAGCUGGUCUGAGAGGAUGAUCAGCCACACUGGGACUGAGACACGGCCCAGACUCCUACGGGAGGCAGCAGUGGGGAAUAUUGGACAAUGGGCGCAAGCCUGAUCCAGCCAUGCCGCGUGUGUGAAGAAGGCCUUCGGGUUGUAAAGCACUUUCAGUGGUGAGGAAGGCGUUGUCGUUAAUAGCGGCAACGAUUGACGUUAGCCACAGAAGAAGCACCGGCUAACUCCGUGCCAGCAGCCGCGGUAAUACGGAGGGUGCGAGCGUUAAUCGGAAUUACUGGGCGUAAAGCGCACGUAGGCGGCUUGUUAAGCAAGAUGUGAAAGCCCAGGGCUCAACCUUGGAAUAGCAUUUUGAACUGGCAGGCUAGAGUUUUGAAGAGGGUGGUAGAAUUUCCAGUGUAGCGGUGAAAUGCGUAGAUAUU
rnacentral:rRNA from 1 species